rnacentral:rRNA from 1 species
UACGAAGGGGGCUAGCGUUGCUCGGAAUUACUGGGCGUAAAGGGAGCGUAGGCGGACAUUUAAGUCAGAGGUGAAAUCCCGGAGCUCAACUCCGGAACUGCCUUUGAUACUGGGUGUCUUGAGUGUGAGAGAGGUAUGUGGAACUCCGAGUGUAGAGGUGAAAUUCGUAGAUAUUCGGAAGAACACCAGUGGCGAAGGCGACAUACUGGCUCAUUACUGACGCUCAUGCACGAAAGCGUGGGGAGCAAACAGG